rnacentral:rRNA from 1 species
GUGCCAGCAGCUGCGGUAAUACGGAGGGUGCAAGCGUUAAUCGGAAUUACUGGGCGUAAAGCGCACGCAGGCGGUCUGUCAAGUCGGAUGUGAAAUCCCCGGGCUCAACCUGGGAACUGCAUUCGAAACUGGCAGGCUAGAGUCUCGUAGAGGGAGGUAGAAUUCCAGGUGUAGCGGUGAAAUGCGUAGAGAUCUGGAGGAAUACCGGUGGCGAAGGCGGCCUCCUGGACGAAGACUGACGCUCAGGUGCGAAAGC